GGACACAUGGUAUAGUUGGUUAUCGCUCCUCCUUAGCAUACUCAUAUGCGGGAGGUCGCCGGUUCGAUCCCGGGUGUGUCUA